rnacentral:rRNA from 1 species
AUUGAACGCUGGCGGCAGGCCUAACACAUGCGAGUCGAACGGCAGCACGGUAAUAGCUCGCUCUUUCAGGGGCGGACGGGUGGGUGAUGCAUAGGAACAUGCCUGGUUGCGGGUUCUAACGUCCGGAAACGGGCGCUAUUACCGCAUACGCGCUGACGACGAACGGGUGGGAUCUUCGGACCUCCCGCUCUCGGAUGAGCCUAGGUCGGAUUAGCUAGUUGGUGGGGUAAAGGCCUACCAAGGCGACGAUCCGUAACUGGUCUGAGAGGAUGAUCAGUCACACUGGAACUGAGACACGGUCCAGACUCCUACGGGAGGCAGCAGUGGGGAAUAUUGGACAAUGGGCGAAAGCCUGAUCCAGCCAUGCCGCGUGGGUGAAGAAGGCCUUCGGAUUGUAAAGCCCUUUUGUUGGGAAGGAAAAGCAGCAGGUUAAUACCUCGCUGUUUUGACGGUACCAACAGAAUAAGCACCGGCUAACUUCGUG